rnacentral:rRNA from 1 species
GAGUUUGAUCGUGGCUCAGGAUGAACGCUAGCGGCAGGCUUAACACAUGCAAGUCGAGGGGUAGAGUUAGCUUGCUAACUUGAGACCGGCGCACGGGUGCGUAACGCGUAUGCAAUCUACCUUGUACAGGGGGAUAGCCCAGAGAAAUUUGGAUUAAUACCCCAUAGUGUAAUGAAAUGGCAUCAUUUUAUUACUAAAGUUCCAACGGUACAAGAUGAGCAUGCGUCCCAUUAGCUAGAUGGUAAGGUAACGGCUUACCAUGGCAACGAUGGGUAGGGGUCCUGAGAGGGAGAUCCCCCACACUGGUACUGAGACACGGACCAGACUCCUACGGGAGGCAGCAGGUGAGGAAUAUUGGUCAAGUGGGCGCAAGCCCUGAACCCAGCCAUGCCGCGUGCAGGAUGAAGCAUCUAUGGUGUGUAAACUGCUUUUUGUACAGGAAGAAACACUCCCUCGUGAGGGA